rnacentral:tRNA from 1 species
GAGGAUAUAGCUCUGGUAGAGCGUGUGCCUAGCAUGCAUGAGGUCCUGGGUUUGAUCCCCAGCACCUCCA